AUUGAACGCUGGCGGCAUGCCUUACACAUGCAAGUCGAACGGUAACGCGGGGCAACCUGGCGACGAGUGGCGAACGGGUGAGUAAUGCAUCGGAACGUGCCCAGAAGUGGGGGAUAGCCCGGCGAAAGCCGGAUUAAUACCGCAUGAGACCUGAGGGUGAAAGCGGGGGAUCGCAAGACCUCGCGCUUUUGGAGCGGCCGAUGUCAGAUUAGCUAGUUGGUGGGGUAAAGGCCUACCAAGGCGACGAUCUGUAGCUGGUCUGAGAGGACGACCAGCCACACUGGGACGGGUACACGGCCCAGACUCCUACGGGAGGCAGCAGUGGGGAAUUUUGGACAAUGGGCGCAAGCCUGAUCCAGCCAUGCCGCGUGCGGGAAGAAGGCCUUCGGGUUGUAAACCGCUUUUGUCAGGGAAGAAACGCUCUGGGCUAAUACCCUGGGGUAAUGACGGUACCUGAAGAAUAAGCACCGGCUAACUACGUGCCAGCAGCCGCCGUAA
rnacentral:rRNA from 1 species